rnacentral:rRNA from 1 species
GAUGAACGCUGGCGGCGUGCCUAAUACAUGCAAGUCGAGCGAACGGACGAGAAGCUUGCUUCUCUGAUGUUAGCGGCGGGCGGGUGAGUAACACGUGGAUAACCUACCUAUAAGUCUGGGAUAACUUCGGGAAACCGGAGCUAAUACCGGAUGAUAUUUUGAACCGCAUGGUUCAAAAGUGAAAGACGGUCUUGCUGUCACUUAUAGAUGGAUCCGCGGUGCAUUAGCUAGUUGGUAAGGUAACGGCUUACCAAGGCAACGAUGCAUAGCCGACCUGAGAGGGUGAUCGGCCACACUGGAACUGAGACACGGUCCAGACUCCUACGGGAGGCAGCAGUAGGGAAUCUUCGGCAAUGGGCGAAAGCCUGACGGAGCAACGCCGCGUGAGUGAUGAAGGUCUUCGGAUCGUAAAACUCUGUUAUUAGGGAAGAACAUAUGUGUAAGUAACUGUGCGCCUCUUGACGGUACCUAAUCAGAAAGCCACGGCUAACUACGUG